GAAUUCGCCCUUAGAGUUUGAUCCUGGCUCAGGAUGAACGCUGGCGGCGUGCUUAACACAUGCAAGUCGAACGGAGCUAUGAGAGAAGCUUGCUUCACUUUUAGCUUAGUGGCGGACGGGUGAGUAACGCGUGAGUAACCUACCCUUCAGAUUGGAAUAACAUCGAGAAAUCGGUGCUAAUACCGAAUAAUGUCGGAUUGCCGCAUGACAGACCGACCAAAGAUUUAUUGCUUAAGGAUGGACUCGCGUCCGAUUAGCCAGUUGGUGAGGUAACGGCUCACCAAAGCGACGAUCGGUAGCCGGACUGAGAGGUUGAACGGCCACAUUGGGACUGAGACACGGCCCAGACUCCUACGGGAGGCAGCAGUGGGGGAUAUUGCGCAAUGGGGGAAACCCUGACGCAGCAACGCCGCGUGAAGGAUGAAGGUUUUCGGAUUGUAAACUUCUUUUAUGAGGGACGAAGAAAGUGACGGUACCUCAUGAAUAAGCUCCGGCUAACUACGUGCCAGCAGCCGCGGUAAUACGUAGGGAGCGAGCGUUGUCCGGAUUUACUGGGUGUAAAGGGUGCGUAGGCGGCUAAACAAGUCAAAUGUGAAAUCUAUGGGCUCAACUCAUAAAUUGCAUUUGAAACUGUAUAGCUUGAGUGAAGUAGAGGCAGGCGGAAUUUCCUGUGUAGCGGUGAAAAUGCGUAAAGAUAGGAAAAAGAACACCAGGGGCGAAAGCGGCCUGCUGGGCUUUAACUGACGCUGAGGCACGAAAGCGUGGGUAUCGAACAGGAUGAGAUACCCCGGUAGUCCCCGCGCUAAAAGAUGAUAACUAGUUAUUUGCCAAAAUUGAUUGCGUGAGUGACCGAGCGAAAGCGUUAAGUUAUCUCACUUGGGGAGUACGCCGGCAACGGUGAAAAUCAAAGGAAAUGACGGGGGGCCGCCCCAGCGGUGGAGCAUGUGGUUUAAUUUGAAGCAACGCGAAGAACCCUACCAGGUCUUGACAUCCCGAUGCCCGGUAUAGAGAUAUACUUUUUUUUUCGGAAACAUCGGUGACAGGUGGUGCAUGGUUGUUGUCAGCUCGUGUCGUGAGAUGUUGGGUUAAGUCCCGCAACGAGCGCAACCCCUCCUGUUAGUUGCUCCGCAAGAGCACUCUAGUGAGACAGCCGUUGACAAAACGGAGGAAGGGGGGGAGGACGUCAAAUCAUCACGCCCCCUCUGACCUGGGGUACACACGCGCUACAAUGGCGGUCAACAAAGGGAAGCAAAAGUGCGAAGUGGAGCAAAUUCUCAAAAGCCGUCCCUCUUUGGAGUGCAGGGUGCACCUCUCCUGUACGAAGAGGGAAUAGCUAGUAAUCUCGGAU
rnacentral:rRNA from 1 species